rnacentral:lncRNA from 1 species
UCGCCAAAUGAGUAAAAGAGAAACAAUUGAAACAUAGAUAAAGAAAUGAAUCUGAUGGUUCUGGAGGUGGAGCCACAACAAAGAGAUCUGAGAGGAAGGUGAAAGGCGGAUCUGGAUCUGGAACUGGAACCGGAUUCGUCGAGGAUGAAAACAGAGCAAGCACCACCAAAGCCAUGGCAGAAGAAGAUUAUCGUCGGUGGACGUGAGGCACACCGGCGGCAGAGACCUAACGACGAAACCCUAGUCGCAUUUAGUGUCG